UUGUCCUUAUUAGUUCAUGUGAUUUUCUUUGUGCUUAUUUUUUGAAUUUCUUAAAAAUAUUUUUCUAGAUCACCUUGAAUAAAUAUUUUACCUAUAGUGAUAGAAUCAUUGAUGUUUCUUAUUGGACCUUCCUGCAAUUUUAUCUCUCUCUUUUUAAUUAGAUUUUGAUCUUGCAUCUUCAUAUGAACAUUCCUCAAUAUCAUUACCUUAAAUAUUUGAGUGAUAAGCAUAAUUUUUUGAUGGAUCAAAGUUAAAGGGUGAAUACUUAGGGAUCCAACCCCUUCUCAAUUGUACAAUACCUUAGGAACUCAGUCUUUCAAAUAUGCUCUCCAAUGGCUCGAUCAAAGGAGUAAAGGGUUGAAUCUGAUAAGCCUCACAUUGAGAAUCUUGGGAAUCAUAAGGUUCGGGAUGCUCAUUAUGAGAAUCAAACACAACAUGGACUUCUUCAUUAUUCUGAUAGCAUUGUGGAUGAGAAAUGGAGGGUGAUAAAUCCUCUUUUCUUUGUUCAUGUGGAAUCUUUGGUGCUUGAAAAGUGCUUGCCAUUGUAGAAACAUCAAUAAUUAUUCUAUUCUGAAUAUGAUAUUCUAAAUUUUUUUUGAUUGAAA